AGUGAACGCUGGCGGUAGGCUUAACACAUGCAAGUCGAACGGCAGCACAGUAAGAGCUUGCUCUUACGGGUGGCGAGUGGCGGACGGGUGAGGAAUACAUCGGAAUCUACUUUUUCGUGGGGGAUAACGUAGGGAAACUUACGCUAAUACCGCAUACGACCUACGGGUGAAAGCAGGGGAUCUUUGGACCUUGCGCGAUUGAAUGAGCCGAUGUCGGAUUAGCUAGUUGGAGGGGUAAAGGCCCACCAAGGCGACGAUCCGUAGCUGGUCUGAGAGGAUGAUCAGCCACACUGGAACUGAGACACGGCCCAGACUCCUACGGGAGGCAGCAGUGGGGAAUAUUGGACAAUGGGCGCAAGCCUGAUCCAGCCAUACCGCGUGUGUGAAGAAGGCCUUCGGGUUGUAAAGCCCUUUUGGUGGGAAAGAAAAGCAGCAGGUUAAUACCCCGCUGUUCUGACGGUACCCAAAGAAUAAGCACCGGCUAACUUCGUG
rnacentral:rRNA from 1 species